GAGCUUUGAUUUAUGACAUAGGAUUAAGAUUUGUGCUAAAGCCAGCCUUCAUGCCUGUAGGGUCUCGCUCGAGUCUGUCUGUUGGAGAGGGAUAAGACAACAGAAAACGAGGCCGAUUCUUCUACCACCGGCGCGAGGAGGGAGCGAAUGUUUUCUACGCAUGUAGUCUGAUUCAAACUGAUAACUGUGCGUUUGUUUUGAAACUGAUUUUACAGUUACAUGUGACAACCUCGGUGUCACUGGAAAGAAGUCCUGGACCGGAUGAGUGACCUCGGUCCAGAUUCAAACCGAACGAGCGGUGUCCGAGAUCCACGAUGGCAACCUGACAUCCGGCACCAAACUGACCCUGAUACACCGAGAGCCCCCACACACACAGGCUUCCAUUGAUUGAGCUCAGCAGGCUGCACUCAAUACAACAGCCUUACUAGGCAUUGCAGAUUUGUCCAAGGAAUCCGUUCGGAGUUAAACGCUAAAAAUCUAUCCGUCCAGUACUCCCAGCUGCACCUGGCCAACCGUUUGGCACAGAGGUCAAUCUCCUGCACCUGGCGAGGAAGGCUGUGCUCUUGUUGUUUGUCACAACGAGGGAUUUUGCCCCUUUACAACACACUCGGAAGGAUGAUAAUCCGCACGCCGAAUCAGGGAUGAGGUUUGCUGAAGGAGCGAUUUAGCGCCCAGGCAGCUGUCUCCUCUGACCCUGCGCUCACAGGUGAAGAGAAAUACAUCCACAAACUGCAUUUCAAAGAAAAAAAAAACUGACCAUAGAGAUCAGAUGAAGAAGCCAUGUCAGGACAUGACGGGUCAUUUGCUGUCACAAGCAGCCGCAUUUGUAAGCUGACCUGAGACCUGUUCGAUUGUUCCGAUCCAAGAUCUGUGAACAUUUUCUGAAUUUCUGGAUUUCCUUCUAUUUGACCCACAGAAUUAUUCGGUAAUAAUAGUUUUGAAAAAUCACCUAUUAAAUCUGACUUAUACUACGAGAAAUCUCAUCACUGACCAUUUUUUUUUAAAACAUUCUUCAGUAAAAUCCAGUACUAUUUAAAAAAAAAAAAAAUCCGCCUUGAUGGAUUUAUGACUUACAUAAAGCACAGUUUCAGAGGCUAGAAAUAAUUUCAUUAAAAUUGAUUUACAUCUGUUUGGAGCCUGGGAAUAGAGAUAUAAAAGUAUGAACCUUUUUUCUGCCUGAAAAUGGUCAUGCACUUGCAAAAUUGGUAACAACUUCCAUAAAUCGAGUUGCCAUAAAUCGACCAAUGUUAGAGUUAUAGGGAUGGGGUUUGCAUUGCGAUU